rnacentral:rRNA from 1 species
AGGACGAACGCUGGCGGCGUGCUUCAUACAUGCAAGUCGAACGAGAAUCUGGCUUCGGUCAGAGGAAAGUGGCGGACGGGUGAGUAAAAUGUAGAGAAUCUGCCCUAGAGAGUGGGACAACAGAGGGAAACUUCUGCUAAUACCGCAUAUGCGCGUAGUUGAGAUACUAUUCGUGAAAACUCCGGUGCUCUGGGAUGAGUCUGCAUCUGAUUAGCUAGUAGGCGGUGUAAUGGACCACCUAGGCGACGAUCAGUAGCUGGUUUGAGAGGAUGAUCAGCCACAAUGGGACUGAGACACGGCCCAUACUCCUACGGGAGGCAGCAGUAGGGAAUUUUGCGCAAUGGGGGAAACCCUGACGCAGCAACGCCGCGUGAUUGAAGAAGCCCUUCGGGGUGUAAAGAUCUGUCAGUGGGGACGAAACUUGACGGUACCCACAGAGGAAGCAUCGGCUAACUCCGUGCCAGCCGCGGC